GAAGCCCGCCAGACUGUCGCUGGUGCAAUGGUGGAAACACCGCACUGGAGGAACGUCCGGACUGCAUAGGGCAGCGUAGCAGUUAACGGCUGUCCACUGAAAGGCAGGUUCCGCAAGGGGCCGGUUAUAAGGUGAGGAUCAGAGCAACAGAGACGAGUCGUCCGGCCGGGCAACCGGGCGGACGGGUGAAACGGGCAAUCUCUACGCGCAGCAAUACCAAGUAGGCCAGCGUUGAUGGGGCCCCCAGAGCUGGCGGGUAGGUAGCACCGAGCUGCUGGGUGACCAGCAGCCCAGAUUAAUGACAGUCACGCCCAGGGAAACCCGGGCGCACAGAAUCCGGCUUAUCGGUGGGCUUCACAC
rnacentral:RNase_P_RNA from 1 species